rnacentral:telomerase_RNA from 1 species
AACGGGGUGGGGCCCACGAAAUGCGUCUGCUUAUUACUAUCUAAACCCUGAACCAUCCCUGUUAAACUGAGAAUUUCAAGCUGAUGGGGGUCUUUUGCCGGCGUUUCCCCCAAAAAUAAUCAAAAAACGUCGAUGGCUACAUAAGAGGCUCAUAUCCAUGUAUACCCACUGGGUUGGGCAGUGUUGGUUUGUUAGGUGGUUCUGUUGAAACUAGAUUUGUUUCUGCAGUUAACCGUUUCCUCGCCUUUCCCUCCCACUCCCAAAUUUU